rnacentral:lncRNA from 10 species
UGGGAUGGGAGAAAGCUCUGUGCCCUGGGGUAGGGCAAGGGACAUUGCAGUACGGAGGGGAGCCCCCCACUUUGGGAUGGAGAUAGAGAUCCAGAUUUGCUGCCAUUGCAGGGACUCGACUUUUGCCCAUCUCUGUAAAAUUCACUGAGGAGGUGCAAUUUCUUCCUGCCAAGAUGUUGACUGACACAGCAAUGAGUUCGCUUUUGCUUAUAUUGAGCCUCAGGAGAUUUUGAGAUGUCCAUGAGGGUAGAUCCAGCAGGUAAAUGAAAAUAAUGGACUGGAACUCGGAGGACAGGUCUAGGCUAAAGAUGUAAAUGUGUUAGUCAUCUACUAACAGGUGAUAAUAGAAGCCAGAGGCAUGGCUGAUGGUGCUUUGGAAUAGAGGAUACAGUGAGUAAAGAAGACCUAGAACCAGUCUUGAAGAAAUCCAACAAAUAUUGGUUGAAUAAAGGAGCAUGAUCCUGCAAUGGAGCCAGAGAAGAACCAGGGAACCAGAGGGAUAUCCAGGAAGUGAAAACAGCAUUUCAAGAAGAAAGAAGAAAGAAGUGAUUAACAUUAUCAAAUACCAAUGAGAAAUUAAGUAAAAUUGAGGAUUAAAAAAAGUUUAUUGCUUAUAGUGACAAAUAGUUUUUUGAUGACCUUAGGAAGGGCUGUUUUAGGAAGUGGUGGGGACAGAAGCCAUUGAGAAUGGCUUGAAAAAUUAGGAGCUGGAGAUAGAAAGUAGGCAACAUUAUGAGAAGUUGGAAUAGAAAGAAGAGGAGAACAAAAGGGUGAUGGCUGGAGAGAAGAUAAGUGAGUGAAUGAUGAUUUUUUUUUAAAUGGGGGAGUUGAGUUGAUAAUAAAUAGAGCACACCAAUUUGAGAGAUGAUUUCAAUAAAAAUCAUCUUUAUAAUUU